CAGUCGCGCGGUAAUACGUAGGGCGCAAGCGUUGUCCGGAAUUAUUGGGCGUAAAGAGCUCGUAGGCGGUCUGUCGCGUCUGGUGUGAAAUCCCGAGGCUCAACCUCGGGCUUGCAUCGGGUACGGGCAGACUAGAGUGCGGUAGGGGAGACUGGAAUUCCUGGUGUAGCGGUGGAAUGCGCAGAUAUCAGGAGGAACACCGAUGGCGAAGGCAGGUCUCUGGGCCGCAACUGACGCUGAGGAGCGAAAGCAUGGGGAGCGAACAGGAUUAGAUACCCGCGUAGUCCCUGUCUCUUAUACA
rnacentral:rRNA from 1 species